rnacentral:lncRNA from 1 species
ACAUUUUUUUGGGAAGGUUCUUUCGAUGGUUUUUUUGUGUGUGGAAGUUCUUUCGAUGGUUGUUUUCUUUUGAUAAUCGUUGUUCUUUGUAUGGCCAGACAGUUUCCAGGUGGUUCACAUUUUUACAGGAGGCACAUGCUUUUGUUCAUCUUGCUUCUUGGUAAUACAUUUUGUUGUUGUUUUGGCAUGUACAAGAUGUGAAUUUAUUAGUGUUGCUUCAGAGUGAGUCUGGACCAUGCUGGUUCUAAUAAUGUGUUCUUUGAUGCUUCUGCGGGUUGUAUAUUUUUACAUGCUCAGUGUGGGUAAACACAUGGAGUUUUUCUAUCUCUCUUGACUUCUCACUUUAACUUUUCGGGACAUGAACAUUAAAGUUACCAUGGCUACCAUAAAAAGGCAUAUUAUGGCCUAAUAAACUCUUAGUUGCAUUGUAUAUAGUACUGAUGAUAUGCUUUCUAUCUGUCCUAAUGUAAUUCAGGAAAUUUCUUUGCAAGGAAAAAUAUUAUCUAUAGUUAAAAGAUACAAUUCUUAUUGUGGAGAUCAACAUGUUCUUGUUAUAUCAUUUUCUGAAGUAGCUACCUCUUGAAAUACAAAUGUAGUAGGGUCAAUAAAUUUUUGGAUGAGAAGUGUAUGUUUAGAGUUGCUAAAUAAGUUUACAUACCAUCGACUCUUCAUAAAUCAAGUGUAUUGUUCCUUGAUUUACUAGAAGAAAAUACAGUAUAUGUCAUGGAGUCAUCUUAUUGAGACUUUUCUUCCGCAGAUACUAUAGAUGCUUUGUGAGAGGAUGCUUCUACUGGAGACCAUGAUCCAGUCCAAUGAUUUAUCCGGCAAGGAGGUGAGCUCACAUGUAAACAUGUGUUUGUUUAAGACACUAAAAAAAACACCCAUCUUCUGAAAUGCUUUCCUCUAUUGUCGUAAUUGAAGGAAAAAUCUAAUGUAUUUCUAGAAUUUGUUAAUGUGAUCAGAAUUAUGAAUAGGAAGUAUAUUGUGUCAUUAUUAUAGAAUGGAGCUCUGAUUUUAAUAUACAAGGUAAGCUCAUGGAAAUGUAAAUAAUAAUUCAACAUUCAAAUUCUUCAUGCCAACCUGAAACUUGGAACACAACAGAAUUCAGUGAACUCACUCUAAACAAAUUUUGUGAUGGUGUCCGCAUUCACUGGUCGCACAAUGCAGGAGAAGCAUUGUUGGGGUCCUCAUUGUCACCAAGGGGAUGCAACCUACAUCAAUCGUGUAGAGAUCCACUGAUGUGUCCGUGCCCAUGUUGUGCUUCACCGAGCUUCAGGAAAAAUAAUCUAUUUCUGGGAUUAGUCCUCAACAAGCAAGAAGAAGUGCCAUCACUGGUAUGAAACCCAUGCCAGGGGAAGGGAUUCCAUCACUGCCUUUUGAUCAGCAAGUGUAAUCUCCAGUGAUGAUCGUCCCUGUUCAGCAUUCAUCAACAGAAUGCCAUCUUCAGUGCCCCUCUCUAGGCCCUCACUCUGAAUUCUUUCGGUUUUAAGUAAGGAAACAAUCUAUAUGCAUCUAAACAAUUUUUUUCCAAUUUAUUGCUGCUUUGCUAUGACACUGUUUCUAGAUCUUGUUCAUAGUGUUCGAGUUUACAUAGUCUCAGUAUUCACUGAAUAAUAUGAGAGGAUUGGUUGAUGCUACAUAUACAGCCAAGUUUCUACACACUUGCAUCAGUUUGCAGAUAUUUCCAGUUAAAAGAUUGUACUCUGCUCUGAGCUGGGCAUUCUAUUUCUCUGUAAAAAAAUUGCUUGCUUUGUUUGUCAACCCUUGCUUAUUUAUUUUUUGUUCGUUUUGGAUGCAGUAGGUGCCCUCCCUCCAUGGACGAGGAGGACAUUGACCUAGACCUUGACGACGACGUCGUCCACCCCACACAAGGUCGUUGCCACGCAAUAAACUUCUUUUCUUCUUCCAUUCCAAGUUACCUCUGCUCUGUUUCUGCAAUAGACUCAUUGUUCACUAGCUAUAGAUCCCUAUGUUGUUGUUGGUGGUGGUUGGCGAGGUGACGCUGGAAGGCGCGGAGGCGUCGUCGACGAAAGAGAAAAAGAAGAGGACAUACCGUACAGCUGCCCACCACUGCUCACCUCGAUGGCUCGACCACCUCUGCUGUGCCGCAGACGACACAGGGGGAGGCCGAGGUGAUCAUCGACGGUGCUCACCCCGACCCCAUUGGGAUCUAGGGGAAGGGGCUAUGGCGGCAGCGGCACUGGGAGAGGCGGCGGCACUGGGAGAGGCAGCGGCGCUCGGAGAG